UCCAGACUCCUACGGGAGGCAGCAGUGGGGAAUAUUGCACAAUGGGCGAAAGCCUGAUGCAGCAACGCCGCGUGAAGGAAGACGGUUUUCGGAUUGUAAACUUCUAUCAAUAGGGAAGAAAGAAAUGACGGUACCUAAAUAAGAAGCCCCGGCUAACUACGUGCCAGCAGCCGCGGUAAUACGUAGGGGGCAAGCGUUGUCCGGAUUUACUGGGUGUAAAGGGCGUGUAGCCGGGCUGACAAGUCAGAUGUGAAAUCCGGGGGCUCAACCCCCGAACUGCAUUUGAAACUGUUGGUCUUGAGUAUCGGAGAGGCAGGCGGAAUUCCUAGUGUAGCGGUGAAAUGCGUAGAUAUUAGGAGGAACACCAGUGGCGAAGGCGGCCUGCUGGACGACAACUGACGGUGAGGCGCGAAAGCUAGGGGAGCGAACAGGAUUAGAUACCCCCGUAUAA
rnacentral:rRNA from 1 species